CUAAAUCACCGAUUCCCGGACGAUCACCAAAGUUAAGUAACGCCAAGUCUGGUCAGUACUUAAAUGGGUGACCGCUUGGGAAUAACAUGUGCUGUAAU